GACGAACGCUGGCGGCGUGCUUAACACAUGCAAGUCGAACGGAAAGGCCCUGCUUUUGUGGUGUGCUCGAGUGGCGAACGCGUGCGUAACACGUGUGUAACCUGCCCUUGACUUUGGUAUAACUUCAGGAAACUGGGGCUACUAUCGUAUAGGAUCUCCUGCUCCAUGGUGGGGGUUGGAUCGUUUCGGCGGUAGGGGAUGGACUCGCGGCUUAUCAGCUUGUUGGUGGGCUAGUGGCUUACCAAGGCUGUGACGGGUAGCCGGCCUGGGAGGGUGACCGGCGACAAGGGGACUGAGAUAGGGAGCAGACUGCUACAGGAGGCAGCGGGGGGGAGUAUUACACAGUGAGCGGAAGCCUGAGGAAGCGGCGCCGGGUGCGGAAUGACGGCCUGCGGGUUGAGAACCGCUGUAGGCUGAGACGAAGCGUGAGUGACGGUAAUGGGUAAAGAAGCACCGGCUAACUACGUG
rnacentral:rRNA from 1 species